rnacentral:miRNA from 1 species
GUCCUCUGGUUGCAGAUUACU